GCAGCCCCAAGAGGCAGCUUGCUGACAGGCCAGGGGCUCUCCCGCCAUGGUUCCCUGCUGUUUCUUUGUGGCCAUGCUGGCCCCUCUGGUUUUAGCCCUGGAACAGUCUCCAGACAUGGUGAUCAAAGAAGGCCAGUCCGUGAAUCUGGAAUGCUCUGAGAAGAAAUCCUCCAGCACAGCUAUGUACUGGUUCAUGCUGCCUCGAGUGAAGAAUUCCAGUCUGACCCAGUUGGUUUAUGCAGCUGAAGGUGCCAAUGCAGUGGUGGAGAAGAGUUUUGAGAGCCAUUUCAAGAGCAGCAAGAUAAAAGGAGACAGUAUCACCCUCUCAAUAGAACAUGCCUUUCUCAAUGACUCUGGCACAUACUACUGUGCUGAGAGUGAACACAGUGGUGAGACUGCUGAGGGAGCUGAGCACAAACCUGUCCCUGCACAAACAGGACCUGCUUUCCACUUGUGGCAGCUGCACGAGACAGGGUGAUCACUUCUCAUUUGCUGCUCUGCUUCCUGGCCUUGCCUUCUUCCUCUUCUCCGAUGCUGACAGUUUAUUUCUCCAGCCUUCUCUCCUUGCUACU